rnacentral:lncRNA from 10 species
UACCUGCCCUUUGCCCUUCUCGAGGCCGGUGCUUGACUGGAGGAGGGCUGGCAGCAGAAGUGCAGCUGACCGGGUUGCGUUUUCGUACGGCUGACUAAAGCGGAUACCGGUGGCGACUCAUUUCUCGUUUUAUUUUUCAACGAUUUGGCGGAGAAGCUCCUCUUGUGAAUGGACUUUGGAUUUCUUGGAGCUGCGCUGCGGGUCCCACAGUGUGGCUUUCGGCCCGUGCUGUGCUGGCGCCUGCACUUCCUCUGGCGGGGCACGGGGUGGCGCUCCCUGGUAAAGCAGCGGCCAGGGGGAGCCGUGAGUGAGGCGCUGCCUCUCCCGCUGAAGCGGGUUCCAAGGCCACCGUGAGGGGGACCAUCCAUCCAGGUAAAACGUGUUCUUUCCUUGUUCCUUUGCGAAUCGAUGGGGAUCAGGCUUCCCCAGGUGGUGAAGUGAGGAACAGGGACCGCGGGGCUCGCCUGACCAGUGGGGUCUCCAUCCUUGUCCGUGCUGACAAAAGACAAGAACAGACAGCGCCUGAAAUCUUCCCGCCUCCGUGAGGGAAGCCUGCGUCUGGGAACGCGCCGCAGGGAAGUGAUCCCUGAGUGAGGGAGGAGGUGCCGGGGCAUCAUUAAUCAGACCUCAAUGCCGGGAAGGUUCUUUGUUUAAAGAAACACUCAUGUUUAAAGAGCACUUGGUGCGGACUUGCUGUGGCCAUCGCCCUCAACAGCUCAUCUUUAGGAGGUGCAGGCUGAAUUCACGCCUCGGUGUCGUCCAUGUCUGCCUGCCGCGCAGAGGAGACAGCGAGAGGCCUUCCCACCGCACGGCUUUUACGGGAAGCUCUUCGCAUUGGCUACAGGGGUGUGGUUUGGUUUAUAGCCACACCAAGUAAUUUUAAUAGAACUCAAUAACUGUGUUGCCUUGCAGGCUCCGAGUGCUACAGGCAGACCCGAGUCCGAGUCUUCCUACGGUUCAUUGUCCCCCCCUGGAUUUCCUAGGGACUCCAGAUACGAUGGCAUCGAUGUCAGUUAACUUGGCACUUCUUAAAAUAGAUCUAUGAUCAAAUCUUAAGUUUUUCCGAAUAAGACUCUGGAGGAAUGCAGGAAGGUCAUUUGAUUACUUUAAAAUAAGAGGAUUUUAUGUUAAAAUAUUGAAAAAGCCAGUCAUAAAACUAAGCUCUGUACCAAUGAAUAUAGUUCGCGAAGCCAGCAGCACAGGCUUAUUAUUAUAAAUAUCAAACACCACCA